UACGUAGGGGGCAAGCGUUGUCCGGAAUUAUUGGGCGUAAAGAGCGCGUAGGCGGUCCGGUAAGUCGGCUGUGAAAGUCAAGGGCUCAACCCUUGAAAGCCGGCCGAUACUGUCGGACUAGAGUCCGGAAGAGGCGAGUGGAAUUCCCGGUGUAGCGGUGAAAUGCGCAGAGAUCGGGAGGAACACCCGUAGCGAAGGCGGCACUCUGGGCCAGCACUGACGCUCAUGCACGAAAGCGUGGGGAGCAAACAGG
rnacentral:rRNA from 1 species